GAUGAACGCUGGCGGCGUGCCUAAUACAUGCAAGUCGAGCGAACGGACGAGAAGCUUGCUUCUCUGAUGUUAGCGGCGGACGGGUGAGUAACACGUGGAUAACCUACCUAUAAGACUGGGAUAACUUCGGGAAACCGGAGCUAAUACCGGAUAAUAUUUUGAACCGCAUGGUUCAAAAGUGAAAGACGGUCUUGCUGUCACUUAUAGAUGGAUCCGCGCUGCAUUAGCUAGUUGGUAAGGUAACGGCUUACCAAGGCAACGAUGCAUAGCCGACCUGAGAGCGUGAGCGGCCACAAUGGAACAGAGACACGGUCCAGACUACUACGGGGGGCAGCAGUAGGGAAUCUUCCGCAAUGGGCGAAAGACUGACGGAGAAACGCCGCGUGAGUGAUGAAGGUCUUAGGAUCGUAAAACUCUGUUAUUAGGGAAGAACAAAUGUGUAAGUAACUAUGCACAUCUUGACGGUACCUAAUCAGAAAGCCACGGCUAACUACGUG
rnacentral:rRNA from 1 species